rnacentral:lncRNA from 1 species
UCCUUGGACUUAUCGUUAAGCAUAUAACAUUUAUAUGAGACGGCUUAAAACAAUAAUCUUUGCCCUUGAUAUUAAACUAGAUUAGUUUAACAUAUGAAAUGUCCGUAAAGUAUCAUCAUAUGAUUGGUUUUAGGGCACAUUUCCAACAAUAUUCGUAACCAAAUUUCAUCAAUUUCAGAUCUAAGAAACGAUGACCGCAGGUUUUCCGGCCAAAUUAUGGCCAAGCCUGCGGGAAUUGGACCUCGACCUAAGAGGUAAAAAUGAUCCUUUCCUCGUGGGCCGUCCUCCAAUGUAAGGGCUUUUCCAAAAUAGAAAUUUCAGUUUUGGGAUCAAUUCUAGAUUUC